CCUACGGGAGGCAGCAGUGGGGAAUUUUGGACAAUGGGCGCAAGCCUGAUCCAGCAAUGCCGCGUGAGUGAAGAAGGCCUUCGGGUUGUAAAGCUCUUUUGUCAGGGAAGAAAAGGUAGCCUCUAAUACAGGCUGCUCAUGACGGUACCUGAAGAAUAAGCACCGGCUAACUACGUGCCAGCAGCCGCGGUAAUACGUAGGGUGCAAGCGUUAAUCGGAAUUACUGGGCGUAAAGCGUGCGCAGGCGGUUAUAUAAGUCAGCUGUGAAAUCCCCGGGCUCAACCUGGGAACUGCAGUUGAGACUGUAUGGCUAGAGUGUGUCAGAGGGGGGUAGAAUUCCACGUGUAGCAGUGAAAUGCGUAGAUAUGUGGAGGAAUACCGAUGGCGAAGGCAGCCCCCUGGGGAUAACACUGACGCUCAUGCACGAAAGCGUGGGGAGCAAACAGGAUUAGAUACCCUGGUAGUCCACGCCCUAAACGAUGUCUACUAGUUGUUGGGUCUUAAUUGACUUAGUAACGCAGCUAACGCGUGAAGUAGACCGCCUGGGGAGUACGGGUCGCAAGAUUAAAACUCAAAUGAAAUUGAGG
rnacentral:rRNA from 1 species